AUUAAAAGUUACCAGUCAACUAUACAUUUAAGAUAACAAAAGAAGCUGUCUGUUAACCCAUUUCACUGUAGUUUGGAAGGAAAGAGACGCAAUACAGCGAGUUAUUAAGUAAGAAACUUUCAUAAUGAAGAAUUGCCAAGGAAAUAGUUUUUACUCAAUUCGAGUUCUUGGAUUCAUUGCUGUGGUCAGCAUCUUCUUUCUACUGUUUGCCUGGAACCAAUAUUCUGUGAAUAAAGAAUAUACAGGGACAACAUUAAACAAACACAACCAAAAGUUUAUAAAUAAUUUUAAGGAAUUUCCAAAUAAUCAAGUGCAUCAUAUAAAUAAGAAAACUGUAAGCAAAGAGAAACAGGAAUUGGUUCAGUUAAACAACAAAACUAAAUAUAUUAUUUUUUACUGUGUUGAUCAUAGAGGUUGUGGAGGUUGGGGAGAUAGACAGCAUGGAAUAAUUUCUAUAUAUUUAAUGGCACAGGCCAUGGGUCGUCGUUUUGGCAUCAUUAUUUCAAGACUUUGUAAUUUUACUAAUUAUCUUCAACCAAACAAAAUUAACUGGACAAUUGACCCAAAAGAGUUGCAUGGCCUAAGAAGUCGUCGCCUUCAUUUGGUUGACAACAAUACGUACAUUUCCUCUUUACAAUCAGCAGACUUAGAAAUGCUUUACCCUGAAGAUGUCCUCUAUCUGACAACAAAUCGAAUCUAUUUUCAUGCCUUGAAACGGAAUCCUCGCUACAAAGAACAACUGCAUUGGGCAUCAAAAAUGUCAUAUGGAAAUUUAUUUGCUAAAAUGAUGAAUUUAUUGUUUCGCUUCAGCGAUCAUUUACAGGAAAAAUUUGACAAAUUCUUUGAAGUCAAUAUCCCCAGGCCAGAUAUACAUCUGGUGUGUGCUCAGAUUCGAAUGGGACAGAACCCUAGUGUUCCAGGAGAUCCCCCAAGGAAUUCAAUGUCAAGUAUUCAGAUUAUCUGGAACUUGUUAAAUAAGUACAACACAAGCAAGUACAAAUAUUUGUGACAACAGACUCAGAAGAGCAUCGUGUAGGGAAACAGUGU